CCUGGUUGAUCCUGCCAGUAGUUAUAUGCUUGUCUUGAAGAUUAAGCCAUGCAUGUCUAAGUAUAAACCACUUUAUACUGGUGCAACUGCAGAAGGCUCAUUAAAACAGUUACAGUUUAUUUGAUGGUACCUUUCUACAUGGAUAACCGUAGUAAUUCUAGAGCUAAUACAUGCGUAAAAUCCUGCCCAUUCGUUGGAAAGGAUGUAUUUAUUAGAUAAAAAACCAUCUCCGGCUUCCGGGUCGGAAACCUAUGGUGAUUCAUAAUAAAUAUCGAAUCGCGGGCACGUUCCUGCGAUGGGUCAUUCAAAUUUCUGCCCUAUCAGCUUUUGAUUGUAGUGUAGUGGACUACAAUGGCAUUGACGGGUACGGAGAAUUAGGGUUCGAUUCCGGAGAGGGAGCCUGAGAAACGGCUACCACAUCUAAGGAAGGCAGCAGGCGCGCAAAUUACCCACUCCUGACACAGGGAGGUAGUGAAGAUAAAUAACAAUACCGGGCCAAUUUGGUUUGGUAAUUGGAAUGAGUACAAUUUAAAUCCCUUAACGAAAGCCAUUGGAGGGCAGGUCUGGUGCCAGCAGCCGCGGUAACACCAGCUCCAAUAGCGUAUAUUAAAAUUGCUGCAGUUAAAAAGCUCGUAGUUGGAUAUCUGGCUUGGUUGCCUGGCCCGCCUUACUUAACUGUGAGGGUGAGUGUCGGUCGCAUCCUUGCCAUCCUUCCGGAUGAAGCCAAGGGCGCAAAGGGCGUUUGCUGUUCUUCUUCACGGGAGCGCGGUGAUCGCCUGCUUUUGGUGUUUUAAAUCUGGAUCUUUUACUGUGAACAAAUUAGAGUGUUCAAAGCAAGUAUUUUGCUGUGAAUACAUUAGCAUGGAAUAAUAAAAUAGGACUUCGGGACUAUUUUGUUGGUUUCUAGGCCUGAAGUAAUGAUUGAUAGGGAUAGUUGGGGGUGCUUGUAUUGAGCGGCCAGAGGUGAAAUUCUUGGAUUCGUUCAAGACAAACUUCUGCGAAAGCAUUCACCAAGGAUGUCUUCUUUAAUCAAGAACGAAAGUUGGGGGAUCGAAGACGAUCAGAUACCGUCGUAGUCUCAACCAUAAACUAUGCCGACUAAGGAUCAGUGAGCGUUGCUUUAAAGACCUCAUUGGCACUUUACGAGAAAUCAAAGUCUUUGGUUCCGGGGGGAGUCUGGUCGCAAGGCUGAAACUUAAAGGAAUUGACGGAAGGGCACCACCAUGGAGUGGAGCCUGCGGCUUAAUUUGACCCAACACGCAAAAACUUACCAGGUCCAGACAUAGUUAGGAUUGACAGAUUGCAGAUCUUUCUUGAUUCUAUGGGUGGUGGUGCAUGGCCGUUCUUAGUUGGUGGAGUGAUUUGUCUGGUUAAUUCCGUUAACGAACGAGACCCCAGCCUGCUAAAUAGACGACGUAACGCUUUUUGUGUUGCGUUCUGCCUUCUUAGAGGGUCUGUCGGUUUCUAACCGAAGGAAGUUUGGGGCAAUAACAGGUCUGUGAUGCCCUUAGAUGUUCUGGGCUGCACGCGCGCUACACUGUUGCAGACAACGAGCUUUUUCCUGGAUCGAAAGGUUCGGGUAAUCUUUGAAACUGCAACGUGCUGGGGAUAGAGAAUUGCAAUUAUUUCUCUCGAACCAGGAAUUCCUAGUAAACGCGAGUCAUCAGCUCGCAUUGAUUACGUCCCUGCCCUUUGUACACACCGCCCGUCGCUCCUACCGAUGAAUGAUCAGGUGAAAUCUUCGGACUGUGGGUUGUGCGGCUGGCUCCCCAGUCGUGCGGUCUGUGGGAAGUUGAUUAAACCUUAUCAUUUAGAGGAAGGAGAAGUCGUAACAAGGUU
rnacentral:rRNA from 1 species